rnacentral:misc_RNA from 1 species
CUUUGUUUGGAUAUGAAAAAAUUGACUUUCCUCUUUGUGCAGCUCCGGCGUCUACUACUUUGAUGGGAAGAGUUCAUCAUCAUCGUCACCAACUAAUAACAGAGGAUUUGGAAAAGUAAUUCUAGAGAUCCAAACUAUCACCUUCGCUUCUCACUAUCGCUCAACUCACCAUCGUCGUUGAAACUCACCAUCGUCGCCAACGCUAAUUGGAGGUCGAGAUCUUGCCGUCUUUUUCAUCACGAGACAUGAUUCAUGAGUCACCGCCGUUGCUUCUUACCGUUGUCAAAAUCGUUGUUGUUGCAGGAGCUCAAUCACCAUUGUAGGUUCAGUGAGCCGGCCCGGGAGAAGCGUUGCCAAAAAAGAAUAAAGACAAAGGUAACAAAUAAACAAAGAAGACACAACAGUGAAUUCAUCUAAUCCAAAGUUGUAUGUGGUUUCCGAAAUGCUUCCUUUGUCUUGUUCCGAAUCUCUCUGUCGAUGAACUUGAAAAUGGUGUUUCACGUUCAUUCAAUAAAAAAUAACAACCAUAGUGUACACAGAGACUGAUAGUGAAAUAAAGGAAAAAAAAACUAUAAUCUGUUAAAUUCAGAUAAUAUCUAUUAUUUUUUUGUUUUGUUGAAAAAUCAAAUCUCUAGUAACAUUAAUGAGUAUGAAUCGUGUCUGGUAGUUGGUACGAAUCGAGAUCUCAUCAAUGGGUUUUUUAAGCUGCUUUGAGACGUGC